GUCUAUGGGACCUGAGUAGAGAAAAUGUGAGCAUAAAAAGCCGGCUCUUUCUCUGAGCUUAUCAUCACAACUCGUCCAGCAUCAGUUGCAGCGAUAACCCAAAAUGUUCCAGAAAUUUUUUCUCUUUGCUUGCGUCUUGGCUGUGAUGGCCGUCGUCUACACCAACUCGGCACCCACUGAAGAUGAACCCGCUAAUUCCGACGAGCCGGGAGACCAGUUCUUGUUCUACUGUCGCUUGUUCAGUUCUUGCAGCAACAGCACCCAGUGCUCGAGCAAUGUGAUCUACAAGACCUGCAACGGUGGCCGUUGCUGUAAGGGUUAAACAUCAUCAGGUGUAACCUACCGUAGUAACGCAUGUCACUAGAUACGGACGACUUCUAAGAAAAAUCAUUCGUCCUUAUUUUAUCAUUUCCUUUUAUAUCCCAAGUUUUAUUAAUUGAGUUCUAUCAAGACUUGUCAUGUCCGUCUCUUUUGUAAGAAUCUCAGUUAAACGAAAAAAAUACACUUUACAUCAUAAACUA
rnacentral:lncRNA from 1 species